rnacentral:rRNA from 1 species
UACACACCGCCCGUCACACCAUGGGAGUCGAUUGCUCCAGAAGUCAUCUCACCAAGAGGUGCCCAAGGAGUGCUCGGUAACUGAGGUG